GCCUGGGUGGCUCAGUCGGUUAAGCGUCUGACUUCGGCUCAGGUCAUGAUCUCACGGUUUGUGGGUUCGAGCCCCGCGUCCGGCU
rnacentral:tRNA from 1 species